AUGAACCUAUUUGAAGUGGCCCAUUUCGUACCAGAAAAGCCCAUGUAUGAACAAGGGUUUAUUUUACUUCCACACUUAGCUACUCUAGGUUGGGGAGUAUGGCCAGGGGGAGUUCUAGAUACUUUUCCGUACUUUGUAUCUGGCGUACUUCACCUAAUUUCCUCCGUAGUCUUAGGCUUCGGUGGCAUUUAUCACGCGCUUCUGGGACCCAAGACUCUUGAGGAAUCUUUUCCAUUCUUUGGUUAUGCCUGGAAAGAUAGAAAUAAAAAGACUACAAUUUUGGGUAUUCACUUAAUUUUGUUAGGUCUAGGUGCUUUUCUUCUAGUACUCAAGGCUCUUUAUUUUGGCGGUGUAUAUGAUACCUGGGCCCCGGGGGGGGGAGAUGUAAGAAAAACUACCAAUUUGACCCUUAGUCCCAGUGUUAUAUUUGGUUAUUUACUGAAAUAUCCUUUUGGUGGAGAAGGGUGGAUUUUUAGUGUAGAUGAUUUAGAAGAUAUAAUUGGUGGGCAUGUAUGGUUGUGUAACAUCCCAAAUUUUCAAUUUGGAAUGUUAUACAUUAGAUCAUCAUUGCAUAGCAUAUUUAUUUGCAUUUUCGGCAAAUCCUCAAAAAAUCCUAAGCAACUCAAGGACCCUCGGAGAGAGUUGGGGAUUUUCUCGAUUUUCAUAUUUGAUUUUUAUCAAAUAAUGAAACAAGGAUUUUUAUUUUUGUUUUUAAUUAUUUUUCUCUCCGAAAAAUAUUUCGUAUUAAAAUAA
rnacentral:rRNA from 1 species